ACGCGGGGCUGAGGGGCAUGACUCAGCACCCUGGCUCCACUCCUGGGAGGCUCUCUCCAUCCCCCAGGACUGCAGUUUCAAUGCUAUCCUCUGUGACUCAGCUGUCACCACCUCUUUGGGCAAGUUCCACUGCAGGUUUUGUGGGCCAGCGCUCUUGACCGAGAUGCAAAGGCCUUAUCAGCCAAGCAGAUGGCUGGACCAGCUGCCACUUCCCAGGGAGACCAGGAGUUUCCCCCUGGGUCACCAGGGAGGGGUUUCCUGCGAGGAUCCCACGUGCCAAGUCCUCGGGGAUGCAAGACAUUCUGAGGAUGUGACUUACACGGGGAAGCUCACCAGGACUUCUCCGAUUCGAUAUAAAUAACUCUGCACUGGCAGAUGGGGCGCGAGCCAAGUAGUAAUGAAUACUAGGACAAACAAACAGGCCUCUGGGAUGCUGGCCCAGCCGCUCCAAACCACAGUUGGCAAUAGGUUUGGAGGUGGCAGUGGGCGAAAAUCGUACCAGCAACACUGCAGUAAUCCUCGGGAGCGAACGCAGGGAAGCUCUCUCCAGAACGUGCCCUGCUUGAGAGACAGCAAGAGUCAUGAGACCGCUCCGGCCCGCCUUUGGCAAACAAGAGUCUAUAAUUAUGCAGACGUGCAUGGGAGCAGAAGGAAAUCCUGGAUUGCGUCUAGCAGUAUCGUAUGCUGCACAACGAAUCCUGUAUAGGAAGGACAGAAAAACACCUCGCCGAGACAUGUGGGUAAAGAUUUGAAAAGGAGGAAGGAGCAGCCCAUGAGAAUAUUGAAGGGGAAGACCACUGAAGGACAAAGAGAACAGCAAAUACCGUGGCUCAGAGGUGAGAAAGCUGAGACUGGACAGCGGAGUGUCUUGUCCCAAAUCACCUUGCUCUUUAGUGGUGAAGCUGGAAUUCAGUUUCGAGUUUCUGAAAGCUUAUAUUGGACUGCCUUCAUAUAAUAUCUUCCACAGCCAUCCUGACAGAUUUCCCUUGACCCAUCUAGUUCCUUUUCCUCACCCCAACCUUUGCCUCACAAGAAGACCAGCUCACGUUUAGGUAUAGAGACAAAUACCUAAUGGUCCAGACCCGUUUCAACGUUACCACAUGUUGUUUUUGGCCACUAGGUGGAAAUACGCCUAUUUUCUCUCCUCCAAAAGAUCUUGAGCUUUUUAACAAACACAUUUUCGAAUUCAUUUCCCCUCUUUGGGCCCCCCAAGCCCAAAUGCCUAUAGAGCCAUAGCCACAUUAAUAGUGAGUUAAAACACACAGAACGGAGCCAAUGGACUACCCUGUUCAUUACUUUAUUAAAAGUGGGGGAUAAAAGUCCCACAGUGAUCCCAGAUGGUGGUCGAAUCAACAAGCUACUUAUAUACGAUAGACACUCUCGGCUUGGAAACUACAUGAAUGUGUGCUUUUGAUCCAUAAAGAGCUACCUCAGUGGGCCAAUCAUAAUAAAAGUUAUGUAUCUAAAGUAGGUGAAGACGUGAUGAGCAACUUUAAAAUGGCCUUGGCAGCUUUUAUAAAAUCACAUCUAAUCGUUGUGGGCUAUGUUUCUGGAGUAGAUGGUGGAGGGAGCGUAGAGUCUCUGUGAGUGUGGGCUUGGCCUUACUGGACAAUGUGCCAGGCGCUGCGUAAAGUAUGGUGUGCACAGCGCUGAGCCGGACGUGAUCCCUGGCUCCCAUCACGCCUCGCCCUGGUAGUUACAACAGAGACAGAUGAGAUCUGCCUGGGAGUCAUGUAUGUGGAUGUGUGUGUGUGUGUGUGUGUGUGUGUGUGUGUGUAUGAGUGGAUGUCUGUGCUUGUGUGUAUACAGCUGAUCUUCAUCACUCAUAGAUUCAUAUUUGUGAACUCACCUACUCACUAAAAUUUACUUAUAACCCCCAAAUUGACACUUGUGCUUUUGUGGUCAGUUGCUGAGAUGUGCAGAGUGGUCAAAACUUUGAACCACUUGAUGUGACGCGUUCCCAGCUGAGGGUGAAUGAGGCAAUGCUGUAUCUCCUUGUUUUAGCCACCACGCUGCAAACAUGUGUCCUUUUCACCAUCUAUUUAGUGUCGUGUUUCUUGCAUUUUGUGCUUUUUGUUGAUUUCACCAUUUAAAAUGCCCCUACACACAAAGCUAAAGCGCUGCCUGGUGAGGCAGGAAGGCUGGGGUGUGCCUCCCGGGGAAAAUACUUGUGCCGGAAAAGCCUCCUUUGGGCCUGAGUUAUAAUGCUACUGUUGGGACUUCAAUGUAAUUAAUUAACAAUCUAUGUUAAAUAAGGUGUCUUUGAAAAGAAACACACACAGGGGCGCUUGGGUGGCUCAGUCGGUUAAACAUCCGACUCUUGGUUUUGGCUCAGGUCGUGAGCUUGCAGUUUGUGGGAUCGAGCCCUGCAUCAGGAUCUGUGCUGACAGCAUGGAGCCCGCUUGGGAUUCUCUCUCUGCUCCUCCCCCUGCUCGUGCUUGCUCUCUCUCCCUCAAAAUAAACUGACUUUAAAAAAAAAGAAAGAAACACACAUAAAGCCAAUUCAUGUACUGACCAGUUGAUGAAAGAAAUGUGAUCAAAACUGGAAGAAAACUAACCGUGUAUUGUCCCUUGGAGCAGUGGUUCCUAAUUCACCGAUUCAGUGCUCAUGGUGCCCUUAUGGAUCAUAACCACUGUGAAUAAGGGUUGGCCGUAUAUUUUAUACACACACUGAGAGUUAUAUUGAGUAUUAAGAGAAUUCCACAUGAUCCUGAUGAGGGGUGGUGUCUCUAAAAAUCAGUACAGCUGCCCAGCAAGCUUUCAGAUGCGUCCCAUGCACAGAGAUGGGAGGAGGAAUGUGGAUUCAGGUAAACUACACUACGUGAAAAGAAAAGUUAUUAGAUUAAAAGUUAUUAGAUUUAGAGAGGACUUCCGAUUUAUGGAUCAAAUAGUCUAACCUUUGCAUCUUUCAUUUAAGGCAGGAAGGUAGAGAGAAGAAAAGGGAAGGGAGGGAAACCCAGGAGUGUCCCACACAUGAACGAGGGGAUAGAAGGGAUGGGAAGGGCCAACGUCUGAUCCCAUGAGGGACUGAGAAGGAGCAAGACUAAUCAUGUCAUGAUAGCCUCCAGGGAUGACAAUCGCAGAUGUCAAAUUUUUCUUAUCAUUUUUCUGUUACUUUUAAUCCUCUCCCCUGACUUUUCCUGCCCUUGUCAGCACUAAAUUGCCUUGGAUGAUUUCAAAAAUAUUCCUGACCUUAUUUAGAGUUGGAGGGGAGCAGGAAAGAUGUCCAGAGGGGCCCUCCCUGUAAUGCCUGAGUGAGAGAAGGAAGCCUGGCACAGAGCAGAUGGGGCGGCUGGAAGAGCAGCCAGUCAAUACGGGGACCCGUUGAAAAUAGAAACAAGGGGUUGUCCCCAGCACAGAGAAAUUGUUCUAAGACAGUGCCUACAGGCAAAUGGUCCUUGGGUGACUUCCCUAUGGCCAUCCAUCCAAGAGGAACCUGGCCCUUUCAAGAACCAUGUCAGGAAGUUUCAGAGACUACAGCGAUUGGGGCUUGUGAAAAAUGCGUGGUCAACUCAGAGGGCUUUGUUGAUCUACCUGAGCCACGGAACCAGGAAGACGACUCACGGCCUGAGGGAGCGGGUAGUGUAAAUGCCUGGAAGGACUACAGCGCUACUCAGAACUAGUCAAUAACGCUUUUGUUUCCGUAUCACAGAAAAUGAUCUUGCUGCUGGGAAGUGGAAAAUAAAAAUAAGCGCAGAGAUGCGCAACCCAGAGAGGAAGGAGCCGACAGCCUCGCUGUCCUGAGAGCACGAGAGCAACAGCCAGCAGGCCUCCGAGCUCAGAAGAACAAGUUCCAGGGCACUGGGGGCCUUUGCAGGGGUGGACUGAAGAGCCAGAUCCACGAGAGAGAAGUGACAACUCUCAGUGACAAACCUGAUGUCAUGACUUAAGAGAAAGGAGGAAAGUGGAAUGUGAGAUGGAGACAGCUGAAUAUUACUUCCUGGCCUAAGAUUGCAAUCUGCCGUUACCGUUUUAGCCCUGAACGUGAACGCUAACAAUCGGGGGUGACAAACUCACCAUAUUUCCCCGUUUUAUAGGAUCACUAUUAUACUAGCCAAUCACGGGCAAUCCAGAGAGCUCACGUAUGUGGAUUCUGGCAAAGGCUCUCAUGGCUGCAGAGAGGCUGGCGAAGCGUGAAUUGGAAAUCAUCACAUCACAACGACCAUAGCCCGGAAGUUCACCUGACCAAGGGCACAGGCCGGCCGGUGGCAAAGCUCCCACCCAAUUUCAAAAAGCAGGAAAAGUGGUGGGAUGCUGGCUUUCUUUGAGCAAGAAGUUGCUAACUUACUACAUUGCUACUACGGCGUUUGAUACCGGGAAUACAAAGAUGUGUUCUUUCCUUGAGUGAGCUCGUGUCUCAAAAAAUGAAAGCCAGUCAUUCCACUAAGUUUUCACUCAAAAACUUCCAAAACGUGGAAAGAAGGUUCACCUGGUACAGCCUGACAGUAUGCAGCGGGAGCCCUGUCCUGCCCAGACACCAGCCAAGGCAACGCCCCGCAUGAACGGCCUGGACCUCAUCCCUCCUUCCUGCUGUGCCCGCAUUCAGCUGCACUGUGCCCAGACUCACCCUGCUGGUGGGUCUCCAAUGAGCCCUGCCUCUCCCCAGGGAGCCCUUCUUAGGAGGCCAUCAUCGGAGCUCCUCUUAGGAAGAACUGGUCGGCAGACUUUCGGUAGUCCAGAUGACAGAGGCUCACCCAGCCAAGGAUGAGUUAUUUAAGCAUUGGUUUCACUUAUCUUUUUUAAACAUGUUUUUUAAAGGUUAUUUAUUUUGAGAGAGAGAAAGCCUGUGCACACGCAGGGGAGAGGCAGAGAGAGAGAGAGAGAGAGAGAGAGAGAGAGAGAGAGAAAGAGAUUCCCAAGCAGGCUCCAGGCUGUCAGCACAGGGCCCGACGUGGGGCUCCAUCCCACGAACCAGGAGAUCAUGACCUGAGCUGAGAUCAAGAGUCAGACGCUUGACCGACUGAGUCACCCAGGCGCCCCUAAGCAUUGGUUUUGGACCUGCGAGGCCCCAAGCUUUAUGGAGGCACUGCAGAAACCCGCCAGUUCCAGGGGUCCUGGAGGAGAGCCCCAUGACUAGGGCUUCAAAUGUUCCCGAGUGACAGGAUCAUGUGAUUGAGAAAUCAGCUGUGUCUUAACAUCCCGCUGCAAGCUCGUGUGAAGGAGAUGAAGAUAUUUUCCCAUCCCCCUUCAAGGCAGGCCCGCAGCCUCGCCUCAGGGUCCUGGGGGGGCUGGGUUUCUGUAACCUUGCUAAAACUUUAAUUUUCAAAAGUCUGGGCCACAGAGCUCAAUUGUCCCCUGACGAAAGGGUCUGCAUUUGUCACAAAUGACCACGCACUUGAGGCUUCAAAUGACACACAUUUCCCCAAAGAAAACAAAACACUAAUUUGAAGAGAUACCUGCACCCCCAUGUUUAGUGCAGCAGUAUUUACAACAGCCAAGAUAUGGAAGCAGCCCAGUGUUUCCCAACAGACAGAUAGAUAAGGAAGAUGUGUGUGUAUACACACACACACACACACACACACACCCUCACACACAAUGGAAUCUUACUCAGCCAUCAAAAAAAAAUGAGAUCUUGCCAUUUGCGACCACAUGGAUGGACCUGGAAGAUUUUAUGGUAAGUGAAAUAAGUCAGACUGAGAAAGACAAAUACCGUAUGAUCUCAUUAUAUGUGGAACCCAAAAACACAAAAAACCCCAAUGAAUAAACAAACAAAAAGCAGAAUGAUACUUGUAAAUACAGGGAACAAGCUGAUGAUUAUCAGAGAAAAGGAGAGGGGGGCAUGAGUGGAGGGGAAAGUUACAGGCUUCCUUCCAGUUAUGGAAUGAAUAAGUCAUGGGAAUGAAAGGCACAGCAAUAAGGAAUAUAGUCAAUUCCUUGUCAAUUCCUGUGUCUCCCUCUCUCUCUGCCCCUCCCCCACUCACGCUCUGCCUCUCUCUC